rnacentral:rRNA from 1 species
AACGAACGCUGGCGGCAGGCUUAACACAUGCAAGCCGAGCGCCCCGCAAGGGGAGCGGCAGACGGGUGAGUAACGCGUGGGAAUCUACCCAUCUCUACGGAAUAACGCAUGGAAACGUGUGCUAAUACCGUAUACGUCCUUCGGGAGAAAGAUCUAUCGGGGAUGGAUGAGCCCGCGUUUGAUUAGCUAGUUGGUGGGGUAAAGGCCUACCAAGGCGACGAUCCAUAGCUGGUCUGAGAGGAUGAUAAGACACACUGGGACUGAGACACGGCCCAGACUCCUACGGGAGGCAGCAGUGGGGAAUAUUGGACAAUGGGCGCAAGCCUGGUCCAGCCAUGCCGCGUGAGUGAUGAAGGCCCUAGGGUUGUAAAGCUCUUUCACCGGUGAAGAUAAUGACGGUAACCGGAGAAGAAGCCCCGGCUAACUUCGUGCCAGCCGCCGCAGUAAUAC